rnacentral:rRNA from 1 species
UACGUAGGGGGCAAGCGUUGUCCGGAAUCAUUGGGCGUAAAGAGCGUGUAGGCGGUCCGGUAAGUCCGCUGUGAAAGUCGGGGGGCUCAACCCUCGAAUGCCGGUGGAUACUGUCGGGCUAGAGUGCGGAAGAGGCGAGUGGGAAUUCCUGGUGUAGCGGUGAAAAUGCGCAGAUAUCAGGAGGAACACCUAUUGCGAAGGCAGCUCGCUGGGACGUAACUGACGCUGAGACGCGAAAGCGUGGGGGAGCAAAACAGG